GGGCAGGGAGAUUGGGGCACACCCCGUGGGAAGAUGCCCGCAGAAGAAGGGGGGAUGGGAAUUCACAUUACUGAGCAUGUGACACAGGCCUGGCACAUUACAUACAUGAUUCCAUGCACGCAGUGCUGGGCAGGGAGCUGGGACACUGUUCCAGGCUCACACAGUGAUGGGUACAUGACCUCGGCAGACACAAAUAAGGCAAAAUCCUGGACUUUGGCAGCAGUUGUUGGAAACAAAACAUCUCUCUCGCCGGUGUGGCUGAAGAGAGGCCACAGCCUGGAGUCGUGAUGCCACAGAGAGAGCCUGCCCAAGACCAGAGCCCAAACAGAGGAAGAGAGAGCCAAGGGCUGGAGAGGGACAGGGCCUGAGGCCAUCACUGAAGUGCUGGGGCCCAGCCA
rnacentral:lncRNA from 1 species